GGGCCUGUAGCGUAGUCUGGAUAGCGCGUCUGGCUUCGGACCAACAUCCCAUGUUGGAUCACGUGGUGGUCGAAGAAGGUCGGGGGUUCAAAAGCGUAUGAAGUUGCGAAUUCCCUCCAGGCCCA
rnacentral:tRNA from 1 species